GAAACUUAAAGGAAUUGACGGGGCCGCACAGGCGGUGGAGUAUGUGGUUUAAUUCGACGCAACGCGCAGAACCUUACCUAGACUUGACAUCCCGGGGAUUUUCUGGAAACAGAGAAGUGCUUUAGCAAUAAAGAACCCGGUGACAGGUGCUGCAUGGCUGUCGUCAGCUCGUGUCGUGAGAUGUUGGGUUAAGUCCCGCAACGAGCGCAACCCUCGCCUUUAGUUGCCAGCAUUCAGUUGGGCACUCUAGAGGGACUGCCGGUGUCAAACCGGAGGAAGGUGGGGAUGACGUCAAGUCCUCAUGGCCUUUAUGUCUAGGGCUACACACGUACUACAAUGGCAGGUACAGAGGGCUGCGAAGCCGCGAGGUGGAGCGAAUCCCAGAAAACCUGUCUCAGUCCGGAUUGAAGUCUGCAACUCGACUUCAUGAAGGCGGAAUCGCUAGUAACCGCGAAUCAGCAGGUCGCGGUGAAUACGUUCCCGGGCCUU
rnacentral:rRNA from 1 species